rfam:Amborella trichopoda AMTR_V1.0_contig_8787, whole genome shotgun sequence.
CAGAAAUGGGGCCUCCUUUGAGGACAAGAAAAGCAUUUCGGAUCGCCUUAUCGCUGAUUAAAGCAGUCAUCCUUUGGCCUGAAGGGAGCUCCUAAUUCUU